GUUAAAAAGCUCGUAGUUGGAUUUCUGUGUCAGACAACCGGUCUACCUUUUGGGUAAGUAUUGGUAUGGCUGAUGCAUCCUUUCGUGGAACGUAUUCUUGCUUGAUUGCUUGAUGCGGGCAGCGAAACUUUUACUUUGAGGAAAUUAGAGUGUUCACGGCAGGCAUGCGCCUUGAAUAUAUUAGCAUGGAAUAAUAAUAUAGGAUCUUCGCUCCUAUUUUGUUGGUUUCUAGGGUGAAGAUAAUGAUUAAUAGGGACAGUUUGGGGGCAUUUGUACUAAAGCGUCAGAGGUGGAAUUCUUAGAUUGCUUUAUGACAAACUACUGCGAAAGCAUUUGCCAAGGAUGUUUUCAUUGAUCAAGAACGAAAGUUUGGGGAUCGAAGAUGAUUAGAUACCAUCGUAGUCCAAACCAUAAACUAUGCCAACUAGGGAUUGGAGGUCGUUCUUUUACUGACCCCUUCAGCACCUUAUGAGAAAUCAAAGUCUUUGGGUUCCGGGGGGAGUAUGGUCGCAAGGCUGAAACUUAAAGGAAUUGACGGAAGGGCACCACCAGGAGUGGAGCCUGCGGCUUAAUUUGACUCAACGCGGGAAAACUUACCAGGUCCAGACAUAGUUAGGAUUGACAGAUUGAUAGCUUUUUCUUGAUUCUAUGGGUGGUGGUGCAUGGCCGUUCUUAGUUGGUGGAGUGAUUUGUCUGCUUAAUUGCGAUAA
rnacentral:rRNA from 1 species